rnacentral:rRNA from 1 species
CCUACGGGUGGCUGCAGUGGGGAAUAUUGGACAAUGGGCGAAAGCCUGAUCCAGCCAUGCCGCGUGUGUGAAGAAGGCCUUCGGGUUGUAAAGCACUUUCAGUGGGGAAGAAAGCCUUGGGGCUAAUACCCUCGAGGAAGGACAUCACCCACAGAAGAAGCACCGGCUAACUCCGUGCCAGCAGCCGCGGUAAUACGGAGGGUGCGAGCGUUAAUCGGAAUUACUGGGCGUAAAGCGCGCGUAGGCGGUCUGAUAAGCCGGUUGUGAAAGCCCCGGGCUCAACCUGGGAACGGCAUCCGGAACUGUCAGGCUAGAGUGCAGGAGAGGAAGGUAGAAUUCCCGGUGUAGCGGUGAAACGCGUAGAGAUCGGGAGGAAUACCAGUGGCGAAGGCGGCCUUCUGGACUGACACUGACGCUGAGGUGCGAAAGCGUGGGUAGCAAACAGGAUUAGAUACCCUGGUAGUC